rnacentral:rRNA from 1 species
UACGUAGGGGGCUAGCGUUGUCCGGAAUCAUUGGGCGUAAAGCGCGUGUAGGCGGCCCGGUAAGUCCGCUGUGAAAGUCGGGGGCUCAACCCUCGAAUGCCGGUGGAUACUGUCGGGCUAGAGUGCGGAAGAGGCGAGUGGAAUUCCUGGUGUAGCGGUGAAAUGCGCAGAUAUCAGGAGGAACACCUAUUGCGAAGGCAGCUCGCUGGGACGUUACUGACGCUGAGACGCGAAAGCGUGGGGAGCAAACAGG